CCGAUGCAGCUGCUACCAUGCAGUCGAGCGGUAGCACAGAGAGCUUGCUCUCGGGUGACGAGCGGCGGACGGGUGAGUAAUGUCUGGGAAACUGCCUGAUGGAGGGGGAUAACUACUGGAAACGGUAGCUAAUACCGCAUAACGUCGCAAGACCAAAGAGGGGGACCUUCGGGCCUCUUGCCAUCAGAUGUGCCCAGAUGGGAUUAGCUAGUAGGUGGGGUAACGGCUCACCUAGGCGACGAUCCCUAGCUGGUCUGAGAGGAUGACCAGCCACACUGGAACUGAGACACGGUCCAGACUCCUACGGGAGGCAGCAGUGGGGAAUAUUGCACAAUGGGCGCAAGCCUGAUGCAGCCAUGCCGCGUGUAUGAAGAAGGCCUUCGGGUUGUAAAGUACUUUCAGCGGGGAGGAAGGUGUUGAGGUUAAUAACCUCAGCAAUUGACGUUACCCGCAGAAGAAGCACCGGCUAACUCCGUGCCAGCAGCCGCGGUAAUACGGAGGGUGCAAGCGUUAAUCGGAAUUACUGGGCGUAAAGCGCACGCAGGCGGUCUGUCAAGUCGGAUGUGAAAUCCCCGGGCUCAACCUGGGAACUGCAUUCGAAACUGGCAGGCUAGAGUCUUGUAGAGGGGGGUAGAAUUCCAGGUGUAGCGGUGAAAUGCGUAGAGAUCUGGAGGAAUACCGGUGGCGAAGGCGGCCCCCUGGACAAAGACUGACGCUCAGGUGCGAAAGCGUGGGGAGCAACAGGAUUAGAUACCCUGGUAGUCCACGCCGUAAACGAUGUCGACUUGGAGGUUGUGCCCUUGAGGCGUGGCUUCCGGAGCUAACGCGUUAAGUCGACCGCCUGGGGAGUACGGCCGCAAGGUUAAAACUCAAAUGAAUUGACGGGGGCCCGCACAAGCGGUGGAGCAUGUGGUUUAAUUCGAUGCAACGCGAAGAACCUUACCUACUCUUGACAUCCAGAGAACUUUGCAGAGAUGCUUUGGUGCCUUCGGGAACUCUGAGACAGUGCUGCAUGCUGUCGUCAGCUCGUGUGUGAAAUGUUGGGUAGUCCCGCACGAGCGCAACCCUUAUCCUUUGUGCCAGCGGUCCGGCCGGGAACUCAAGGAAGACUGCCAGUGAAUAAACC
rnacentral:rRNA from 1 species